AGAGGGCAGGGCUGGGUGGGAUCUUGGCAAUGAGGAAUUGUUCCCUGGCAGGGUGGGCAGGGGCUGGGAUGGAAUUCCCAGAGCAGCUGUGGCUGCCCCUGGAUCCCUGGCAGUGCCCAAGGCCAGGUUGGACACUGGGGCUGGGAGCAGCCUGGGACAGUGGGAGGUGUCCCUGCCAUGGCAGGGGUGGAACUGGGUGAUUUUCAAGGUCCCUUCCCACCCAAAUCAUUCUGGGAUUCUAUGAUAGAUUGGAAAAUCCAGGUGCCAGGCUUAUACUCUGCUCUGAAGUGAACUGAUCCAAAAUUUUUCCUUGUGGUCCCUGGAGCUGCCUUUGACAGGGAGGAGCUGAGUGUGGAUUGUUCUAACCAGGGCUUCUGGAAACGUGACAAUCUCUCCUUCAGAGGUGAAAGACACUGCCAGUGCAGCUGACUCUCUUAACAGCACUUGUGGGAGUGCUUUAUUAUACAGUUUAUUCAGAACAUGGUAAACAUCCUAAAAACUGUUGUUCUAAAUAAUGAGCUCAACCUCGACAAUGUGCAAAAGGCAGAAAUCAAAUCUUCAAAGAUAACCCACAAAGGUGCUUGAACGAGGAGUCACCUCAAUUAUUCUCACAGUGCCUUCUGAAAACAAAGCCAGCAGAUUAACAGGAACUGUGUAUGUGGGAUAUUUUUUUGAAGAAAGGAAUGAGGUACUCACAGCAGAUAGCAGCCACAGGACACCUAAAUCUUUCUCUGAAUAAGAAUUUAUUCCUCCAUUAUCAGAAGAAACAAACUUCUUCCUGCUUCCCUCAGGCCUGAAGUCAGGAUUAAGAGGAAGAAGCUGACACUGACCAGACAGAAUCCUUUGAAUGGAAUUUAUGCAUCAUGGAUGAGGUGUAUUGUUCCAGACUGCAAGGCAAGAUGAGUUCUGUUACCAUCUGUGUGGCAGUUGUCUUCUGUUCAGUGGGCAGUUUUCCUUAUCUCCUCCACACCCACUCCUCCCUCUGGGGGGACACCUGCUGAUAAGAGGCCAUUGAAUGUCCCUGCAUGGCUGAUAAGAACUACAGCAUCCCAUUGGGAGAUGUGAGCCCAGAGGGAGGAGCCAAGCAUUCCUACCUGGAUAGAAUCCUGAGAUUCUGGAACACCAGCACAGCUUCUCCACUGGAUUUCCCAGAGGAACAGCAGCUGCCUCUCCCACUGGAUCUUCAGAGGAAGACUCCACCUUUCUCCAGGAUCCCUGCUCCAGCAGAACCAGCCCUGGCACUGCAGGAGGGCUGAGCCACAAUUCCAAUGGGACUGCUGCCAGCACCCUGACCCACAGGUGUCAGGGUGUGUUCUGACUCUGUCAGUGUUGUUUUAGUUUACUACAUUGUUUAUUUUAUCUUUUUAUUUUCUUCCCUAGUAAAGAACUGUUAUUCCUGCUCCCAUUUUUAUUUUUGCCUGAGAGCCCCUUAAUUUAAAAUUUACAUCAAUUCAGAGGGGUGGGGAAGGUUCACAUUCUCCAUUUCAGGGGAGGCUCCUGCCUUCCUUAGCAGACACCUGGCUUUCCAAACCUAGACAUGUAUGAAUAUGCAACAGGCUGUUCCUUUUAAGGGUUAAUCCUCUGUUAACGUGGGUCCUUUUUCGGGCAUAUUUUGCCCAGAAAAGGUACCCAGACUGUCUGUAACUCUUUGUUCUUAUUGUCUCAUAUUGUCCUAAUCCCAGUCGUCCAAAUUUUUAUUACUCUAAUUAUAUUACUAUUUUUAUAACCAUUUUAUUACUAUUAAACUUUUAAUACUCUAAAAACAAGUGAUUGGCAUUUUUCACACCUUCCCCUCCUCUGGCUGCUCCACAGCACACUGCCUUGGUGGCUCUGUGGUCUGGUUUUGACUGGGAUAGAGUAAUUUUCUUCUCAGCAGCUGUGUUUGGGAUUUGUGAUUAAUAACCCAGGGGUAUUUCAGCUGUUCCUGACCAGUGCUUGCACUGUAUUUUGUUCUUACCAAGGCCCUUAGGAACAAACUUCAUAUUUAAAGGUUUUGGAGUUAAUUUAGUGAAGGAAAUUAUUUUCACUCAGCAAUAUAUUAGAUGUAACCACUCAAUUUCUUUCUUUUAUUAUCUUCCCACAUGGAGCUUCUUUUUCUGUCACAAUAAAUGAAUGGCUGGGCAGCUCUGAAUAUCCUGCCUAGAAAGCUGUAAACUAUAGGGCUCUUGGUGUGUUUGACCACAGUUUUCCAAAUUUUUUGGAUUUGAUUAGGAAGGAUAAGAUAAAUUUUAAUUUUUUUUUCCUCUAAGGGUGACAGAGGUUGGCUUGGCUUCACCAGCUUGGAUGCCAAUCUCUCCAAAUUUUUUCUGUUGUGGAAACAGGAAUGGAGGGAAAGGGUUUUCUCCAGAACUCCCCAGUCCAGAUUCCCAAAAUGGACAUUUUAAGCUAUGCAGAAGCCUUGGAAGAGCUUUUUGACACAGCACUGGGAGUUAGGUGGUGUCAGUGCUUGCUUUGAUGUUUCAUUAAAUGCCCCCUGGACAAUGUUAGGCAAAGGGAAACAGCUGGCAAACAUCAAGGAAAAGCUAAAAUUAAAUUCCUUAGUGAGGAACACAGGUGGGUUUUCCAAGCAGGCAGUGUUUGAUGGUGCUACAGGAAAGUUUUCUCUUUGUCCAUAUUUCAUGGAGGCAGGAAAAUGGGGAGAAUUGAUUAUUGUAGAGGAAUUUAGGAGAAAACAGAUUCAAUUCUCAUUUGCUGGCUCUUGUAUGAAGCUGGGAAAGAGUUUGCUCCUUUCAUGGAGCAAUUGCCAAGGAUUGAUCUCCAGCCUGAGCUCCUGUGUUCCCAUUGCAAAGAUCGUGAGAAUAUUUGAAAACAAAUCACAGCCUGGAAAGCCCUAAGAGCUCUGAAUGGAAGGAAAAUGGAAUAUAUGCACGAGCUUGAUUUAGCUCUGAAAUGCAGAUUAUUAAAAGUGCCUUCUUGAUGACACAAUCCAAGUGACAUUUAAUGAAAAAUGGGAUAUUUUGAAGUGGAAGGAUUGGAAAAUAUCUCAGUGAUAGCAAUGAAAACAAGACACCAAACUGCCCUGCAUAUGAGGAUCAUACAUCGCUAAAAUAGAUGAAGGUAACAGGAAUAAAGGACUAAUUGUGCUUUGGAAGGUGAACAAAGGAAGAAAUAACUAAUGGUUCUAUGAUACAGGUUGAGGGUCUUCUUAGUUUUCUCUCUUUUUUUUAACCAGCAGGAAAGUGUCACAAAAACAACACACCCAAAACCCCCUCACAAAAUGGGCGGUUGCAUUUUGUUUCUAAGGACUUUUCUCUCAGUGGCUGAAUCAGUGUUUCAGUAAUAAACAUCAGAUAAAGAUUCUCAGGAAUCUGAGGUCCUCCUGAUAUCUCUUGUCAGGGAAAUUUGGGGAAAUUUCCCAGGCUCUUUCUGUCUAUUCCUUUAGAUGGAGGGAGUGUCAGGCAUUUAUUUGGCUUUUGUUUCUAGCUCUGGGAAAACUCUGUGUCUGUCUGUCCAUAUAAAUCUGUCCUUGUAUCCUCUUGUUCAUGCCCAUAUGUGUAUCACUCUCUUUCUAAUAAAAGCAGGUACAAGAUGCUGUUACUUCAACAAUUUGGAACACUGCAAUCAAAUCAAAUGGAUGUAUUAAUAUUACUGCUCAUUGCAAGCAAGAGCAUAUGCUGAAUUUUAUGCCCAUUUUAUUAGGAUCAGCAGGUUCCCUGAUACAUUUGGAGCUGCAGCUGAACAGAUCAGUUUUAUUUGCAUUUUCGUGGGCACCAAUUCAAUGGCAGGAGCUGCUCUGCCAGACAUCAUGAGGUGCUUGGGGGCAAGGUUUGAUUUGGAUCUCUGCUUGUCUCUCCUUAGUGCUGGUGUGGUGCUUCAAAAGCUCUGCUUGUGUGAGUGACACGUUUCACUCAGUCCCAGCCAGGAGAGAUAAAACCUCAGCUUUCCUUCAGAAAUACUUCCUGCUAUCAGCUGGCACUAAGGGAAGGAACCCUGGGCUCCUCAAGCACUGAGUUGUUGCAGCACCAUGAAGGAAGGGGGGUCAGGCUGUUUGAAUGCUCAUGCUUGAGAGGUGAGAGGAAUAGUGGAUUUGUCUUUACAAACAGGCUGUGGGUCUGCUGGUGGAUAAAACCAGCACUGGGAGAUAAAAGAAACAAUGGGAAGGAUUCCACUGAUGGAGGAAUGGAAAAAGAUAUUUGCUUUUAUAAAUAAACUUUAGGUUUGCUGAUAAACGAAAUUAGACAUUGAGAGAUGAAAGAAACAAUGGGGAAGAAAAAACCCUACAUUCAGUAAGAAUUAAAAAUUAAAAGGGAGGGUUGUACAUUAGAGGGAAAUCUUUGGGAAAUCUCUGGUAUCAGGGGUAUCAGGAAGUCUGUAUCUCUCAAGUACCUCAUCCAAUGAGGAAAGAGAGAAGGGAAAUGCAGCAGGGAAAUUGGGAUAAAAAGGAGCCUGUGUCCUCCAAAAAUUGGAGAAAUCCCAGGGGAAUACCCCAUGGCCUCUCCCUUUAUUCCAGUAAAGCCAGAAAGAACUCCUCUGUCUCCUUUUUGGACAUAAACCUCUGGUGUUUGUGGAUUAAUUUUCCCAGCAGAGGGAAGGAGAAAUUCUGGAUUUUCCUGCCAUAGCAUGCACUUGGCAGUGACUGCCAGCUGCCGUGGGGCUGUGUCGUCUGCAGGCUCUGCACCCUGAGACUCAGUGCUAUUUCUGAGUUGCCUUCAAAACCCUCACUCCCUGCAAAGGAACACUAAAACCUCUCCCUGUGCCUGAGCAUUCUCUGGGAAUUCAAUGAAAGGAUCACCCCAGGGCAUUUCUGACUGAAGGCAGUGAGAGCAGCUCCUGUGGAUGUGCUGCUCGCUGAGUAUUUAAUGGCACUUUGGCACAUCCCCGAGGGCCUUUUCUGGCAUAAAUACAGAGCUCUGCACCUCUGGCCCCAGGGGAUCUGCCAGGAGAUGGUUCCUGGGCUUAUGCUGGGAGCUGUGAUUCUUCUUCCCUUUACCCUUCUGCUCAGAGCUGCCUCUACUGCAAAUAUGCAGAGAAACCUUCCUGACUGGAAAAUUUCAUGGAAUCACAGACUGGUUUGGGUUGGAAGGGAUGCUUUCCACUAAAUCAGGGUGCUCCAAGCCCUGUCCAAGCUGGCCUUGGACACCUCCAGGGGUGGAGCAGCCACAGCUUCUCUGGGUGUUUGUUUGAACUGAGCACACAGCCAAGAGAAGAAUUGCUGUUCAUGCCCUAAUCAUGAAAAACAAAAUUAAGCUUCUAAACUGAGUGUUUGCUGGUGUUUUCCAGUCCCAUCUUAAAGGCCAAAUGGAAACAAGGCUGCUUUCAAUCCAGUGGAGGGGUGGAGAGCCCCAAAAUCCAAACAGCAUGUGAACUGUGGAACCAGAUUUUAAGAACAGCAGGGAUUUUUUUGCCAGCCUUAAAAAACCUGCUUUCUAGUGGGGAAUACAUGUGGAGAAGGUACCAUUUCCACAGGAAUAAUUCCAUUCUACCAGUUCCCUGUGUUUCCAGGUGAGAUGAUGUGCAGCUGAGGGUGAGCAGGGCAGUGCAUUCCUCAUGUGGGAAGGAAUAGCAGGAUCAGGCUGAAGUGAUCAACACUGCCUUGGCUUCCUGUCCUGGGUGUGCAGGCAGGGAUUCCUCUCAGGAUAACUGGGAUAUUUACACUUUUUGGGGAGCACUCGAGGUGGCCUGAGGUGUUUCUGUUAACAGCCUCAGUUACAUUUCUACAGUGAUGUGUCUCAGAAGACAAAUCUACUUCUGCCUCAGGCACAGAAAUCUGUUUCCAGCUUUUCCCUAAAUGACUUUGGGGUUCUCCAGCAAGUCUCAUUAGCAGAUUUAUUUGACUCUGGCACAUGACCAUUGAAACCAGGGGCGUUGCUACCCCUCAAACACACAGGUUCCUGCAGUGCCCCACAGCUCUUUUGGAAACACAAACCCACGUUUGCACCUCAGUCUCGCCCUGAAGUCCUUUGGAAAGGUAAAAUGAAUGUUUCUGAGGAGUUGAAAUAACGUGGCAGAGCCUUUAUACAGCAAAAAAAUUAAAUAAAUUGAAUUCUUAUUGCCAAAUAUUCUUGGUAAAUUGGCUAUUUUCUUUUUGCCCACACAAACAGCUAAAGAAGGAUUAUUAAAUCUAAGGAAUACAAAUGCUAAGUAAUUUGAAGAGCUGGAAUCAGACCCAGAGUUAAAGCUGGAAAUAAUUCUGUCCCUAAUCCUCUCUGUGGUGCCCUGUGGUAAGGUUGGUUGUCAUGCCAAAAUCUAAUAGUCUGCUUUCAUCCUCCUUGGACAGCAGGACAAAUUGGCCAGGGCACAUUUUCACUGCAUUUGGGCUUCUCACUGCACUCCCAGUUGGCUUUUAGAGGAGCAUUUCAAAUGUUCCUAUCAUUAUCACCUGAAAAGAAGUUUUCUCUCUGUACAAAUGCUACAUGGAAAUGGAAGUUCGGGUUGCUUAUGGAAUACAUAAUUUUUUAUUGACUUUUUAAAAAAUUCAUUUUACCCUUGCACAUUUAAGUAAUGCUUAAGGUGUUAUCAAAAGCUUCAGACUGCAGGCUCUUCAGGCUUUUGUUUCUAUUCAUGUCUCCUUUUUUUUGGCUUUAAUCAGUGAAUUUCUUGGCUAGGAAAACUUUCACACAUAGCAACACCUUCAAACAGUGCACGCAAUAUAUUGAUAUAGAGAUGUGUGGAAGGCAUUUGGGUACUGAAAUCCUCUUGAAAUAUUUUUAAACAACCUUGGAAAUGUGUAUAUAACACAUCAUCUCUGUAGCAACGCUCUUUAAAGACAAAUUACUGUGUUUACCCCUUCUUAUCCCUACUGGUAUGGAAAUGGAUUAACUGGGAGAGAUUGGGAGGUGCUGGCAAUGAAAUUACUGAUGCCAGGUUCAGAUUCCCUGUGAGAUCUGAUGGUUUUAUUUUUUCCAGCUGAAAAUAAAAGGUAUAGCCUGGGUCUGCUGCAGGGAUUCAUUGAUUGACCUCUCCAGAGCUGGGUGGCAGCUGCUCCAGCAAAUGUUGCUGUUGCUGGUCAAUAGCUGGGAGGGCUUUAGACAGUCCCUGGUCACCCUGCCCAGGCUUUCUUUUUGUGCUAAUUGGUGAAACUGGCUUGGGACCAGCUGGAGAAUCAGACAAUGGAAGAAGUGGGUCAGACACCUUUGAUUAGUUCUUGAAGCAGAGAGGAAUUUCUCCCAGGUUUUCUGGCUGCUCCCUGCACUCCUGCUUGUGGCUGGCAGUUGACAGGAAGGAAAUCAUUUCCCUGGGUCUGUAACUGCAGGGUAAAACAGGCAGAAAGUCUGGAAUGUCUGCAGGAAUCACAGAAGGGUUGGGUUGGAAGGGACCUUAAAGAUGAUUCAGCUACAGCCCUACCAUGGGCAGGGACACCUUCCAUUGUCCCAGGCUGCUCCAAGCCCCAUCCAGCCUGGCCUUGGGCACUGCCAGGGAUGAGGAGUCCACAGCUUCUCUGGGAAAACUGUCCCAGUGCCUCUCAACCCUCACAGCAAAGAAUUUAUUCCUAAUAUCCUAUCUAACUCUACUCCCUUUUAGUAUGGAGCCAUUCCUCCUUGUCCUGUCACUCCAUCCCUUGGGAAUCAUCUCUCUCCAUUUUUCUUGUUGGUUCCCUUCAUGAACCAAAGUGAGUUAAUAAUCAAUAAAGAUCAUAAGAAAUAAAAUUCCAAUACUUUUCUGCUAAAUUAUCUCCUGCUCUGAGUUGCAUAAGUGGUUUUAGUUUCUCUGAUCCUGUGCCCUGGGGCAGGGACUGCAUUUUCAAUUUCUGUAGAGAGUAAGGAACAUCACAGUUCUUAUCAGACAGCUUUACAAACAAGUGAUGUCCAUGCUUGGGAUCCUGUCAAACUGUGAGAGCAUGAAUGGCUCAGGAUGGGGAGUUCACUUCAGACACUGCACUUAAAAAUAGGUGUGUGCUCCUCGGGGAUGUCCUUCCCAAAACUCCUGGUCCAGCUCUCAGGGAGUUGCUAAUCCUGGUCUGGUACAGAGUUAAGUCAGGCAGAUGAUCCCAGGAGGGAACUAAGGACCUGGAGGGAGGGAUGUGAUAGUGGGGCCCUGGGAGAAUGUUAAAAUAGACUCUGAAAUGUUAAGCUUUGUGUUGCACCUGCAUAAGCAGUAUGAUAAAUGAUAUAAUUGUUAGAUGUGAUGAUUGUUUAGUAAUUAAAUAUAAUUAUUGUAUAAUCAUUAGAAGAAUCAUGAGAAACUAUGUUAGAAAAUCUAAGGUGGCUAUGCUUGGCUGAAAUCUAUGUAUACAAUAGAACAACAUAAGUUCAACAAUUAACAUGAAAGUUAUAUAACAGUAGAAUAUAAAAACAUGUUCAUCCCGAACCCAUGUCGGAGUCAGAUUUGGGUUUGUACUCCUGACACCCAGAGCUCUUCAAUAAAAGCACCUGCAUAUAAUCA